GGAUAACUCCGGGAAACCGGAGCUAAUACCGGAUAGUUCCUUGAACCGCAUGGUUCAAGGAUGAAAGACGGUUUCGGCUGUCACUUACAGAUGGACCCGCGGCGCAUUAGCUAGUUGGUGGGGUAAUGGCUCACCAAGGCGACGAUGCGUAGCCGACCUGAGAGGGUGAUCGGCCACACUGGGACUGAGACACGGCCCAGACUCCUACGGGAGGCAGCAGUAGGGAAUCUUCCGCAAUGGACGAAAGUCUGACGGAGCAACGCCGCGUGAGUGAUGAAGGUUUUCGGAUCGUAAAGCUCUGUUGUUAGGGAAGAACAAGUGCGAGAGUAACUGCUCGCACCUUGACGGUACCUAACCAGAAAGCCACGGCUAACUACGUGCCAGCAGCCGCGGUAAUACGUAGGUGGCAAGCGUUGUCCGGAAUUAUUGGGCGUAAAGGGCUCGCAGGCGGUUUCUUAAGUCUGAUGUGAAAGCCCCCGGCUCAACCGGGGAGGGUCAUUGGAAACUGGGAAACUUGAGUGCAGAAGAGGAGAGUGGAAUUCCACGUGUAGCGGUGAAAUGCGUAGAGAUGUGGAGGAACACCAGUGGCGAAGGCGACUCUCUGGUCUGUAACUGACGCUGAGGAGCGAAAGCGUGGGGAGCGAACAGGAUUAGAUACCCUGGUAGUCCACGCCGUAAACGAUGAGUGCUAAGUGUUAGGGGGUUUCCGCCCCUUAGUGCUGCAGCUAACGCAUUAAGCACUCCGCCUGGGGAGUACGGUCGCAAGACUGAAACUCAAAGGAAUUGACGGGGGCCCGCACAAGCGGUGGAGCAUGUGGUUUAAUUCGAAGCAACGCGAAGAACCUUACCAGGUCUUGACAUCCUCUGACAACCCUAGAGAUAGGGCUUUCCCUUCGGGGACAGAGUGACAGGUGGUGCAUGGUUGUCGUCAGCUCGUGUCGUGAGAUGUUGGGUUAAGUCCCGCAACGAGCGCAACCCUUGAUCUUAGUUGCCAGCAUUUAGUUGGGCACUCUAAGGUGACUGCCGGUGACAAACCGGAGGAAGGUGGGGAUGACGUCAAAUCAUCAUGCCCCUUAUGACCUGGGCUACACACGUGCUACAAUGGACAGAACAAAGGGCUGCGAGACCGCAAGGUUUAGCCAAUCCCAUAAAUCUGUUCUCANUUCG
rnacentral:rRNA from 1 species